AUUCUGCCCAAGCGGGGAAGGAUGAGAAGCUUCGACCAAGGUUCGACUCGAGCGCCAGCGAGAGAGCGUUGCCGCAGGCAACGACCCGAAG
rnacentral:sRNA from 2 species